rnacentral:lncRNA from 1 species
CGCAGGGGAGUGGGGGCGUGGCAUUUUUUUGAGGAAAAAAAGCUAAACAAUCUUUAAUAUUUCAAAUUGACUGUGUCGGCUUUUUAAGUUGUCUCGGCUGGUGGAGAAGUCCAUACCUUAGAAUAGUGGUAACACACGGGGAUCCACUCAAGACAGGCCUGAAUGUAUUUUCUUCCAAAUUUCUGGACGAAAAGGUAUAGAAAGCGGGUAAUCUUUCUUUAGUCACCACUCCGGUCAGACGAUGAAUUCUAAACGUUUGCUUGACAUGUCUCCGGCUGAAAUACUGGUCGGGGGCGCUUCGAAACAAGCCGGUAUUGACCAGCAUGCAGAGGGUUCCAAGGGAAGCGAAAUGAGUGUCACCACUACUGACAGCGGUGUCAUUCUGGCGUGCGGGAGCGGGCCCGCAUCAGGAGCAGUUUUCUGCACAUUCGUGCUAGACGAUGGCACUUUGAGAGAAUGUACAAACCAGGACAUUAUCCUCAAUGGGAAUGACCUGUCGUCAGGGAAAGAAAAAUACGCGCACCGGAAAAUAAUGGGUUGUGGUGGCGAGGCAGAUGAGAGGAACAGUGGUCUGACUGGGGUCCUUACUAACGGCAGUCCCACUCACUGCCUGAUCCUGAACGGGCAGAAGCCGGACAGACACAUGCACUCGAAAGUGAGGAAUCCGCUGGUGCCCGAUGGUUUCCAGGAAACCGGACAUCAAGUGCCACCUGAGGAGAGAAAUUCCCACCCCUCCUCCCACAUACCUGUCCCCCGACGCAGACCUAUCUGCUGCCUUUGAUACUGUGAACCAUCAGAUCGUCCUCUCCACCCUCUCCGAGUU